rnacentral:rRNA from 1 species
GAUGAACGCUGGCGGCGUGCCUAAUACAUGCAAGUCGAGCGAACAGACGAGGAGCUUGCUCCUCUGACGUUAGCGGCGGACGGGUGAGUAACACGUGGAUAAACUACCUAUAAGACUGGGAUAACUUCGGGAGAACGGAGCUAAUACCGGAUAAUAUAUUGAACCGCAUGGUUCAAUAGUGAAAGACGGUUUUGCUGUCACUUAUAGAUGGAUCCGCGCCGCAUUAGCUAGUUGGUAAGGUAAGGGCUUACAAAGGCAACGAUGCGUAGCCGACCUGAGAGGGUGAUCGACCACACUGGAACUGAGACGCGGUCCAGACUCCUACGGGAGGCAGCAGUAGGGAAUCUUCCGCAAUGGGCGAAAGCCUGACGGAGCAACGCCGCGUGAGUGAUGAAGGUCUUCGGAUCGUAAAACUCUGUUAUUAGGGAAGAACAAAUGUGUAAGUAACUAUGCACGUCUUGACGGUACCUAAUCAGAAAGCCACGGCUAACUACGUG